UAAUAAGUGUUUUAUGGCACUUUUUAAAUCCAUAUCCACCUUGUGUGCAAUGUCAGUCGAUCUUCUUCAUGGAGAUCGACCAAACAUCAACCUUUAUCUUUUAACUCUUUGUCUGAAAAAUAUUAUGAAUAGACAAUUCAAAAUA
rnacentral:misc_RNA from 1 species